CACCCGGCCUCUACCUACUGUGUAGCUAGCAGUCUCUGCUUUUAAGCCGGCAUCACAGCAAGACACCCUUGGCUUUCAAGGACAAACCAAGGGAGCAAGCAGGCCAACAGGCCAGACCUUUGUCAGGAACCCAGUACAGCCCAGGCAUGGGGUGGACUCAGCUCAGGACCAGAGAGGAGCCCCUGUUUCAGUAAAGAAGACAAGUACAAGGUGCCUGUGUGCUGUGAUCAUCUUGCAGGUUCCAGGAGUGGCUGCUGGCGAGCGUGGAUUUCCUUGAACUCUUCUCCUGUGACUCCGAGCCUGAUAUCCACACAUCUGUGCACGAAGCCCAGUGACUCAGACGGAAUCUGAUUGAAAUGCAUCUGUAUCCAAGUGGCCUGAUUUUUCAUCACCUGCCCUAGACUGAGGUUUUCAAGUUGGAAAUGUUUGCACCUGCGUGAUGUGGAGUAACCCCAGAACAGGUGACUAUUUACCGAGCAUUUUCCUCUCCCGAGGGGAUAAUUCCCCACAGACAUGAGGUGGUUCUGUGACAAUCGUUGUCUCCUUUUCCUUUGAUCUCUCUGACUCUGUGACAUGCUGUCUGGCCUCCCCUGUCCAGAUGAGAGAAGAGGGCCAGGCCCUUGGCAGGUGCAUUUUGUGGGCACUCUAUGUGAAGAACGGAUACAUCUCACUGACAGUGAGCAAACACCAUAUUCUUUCUAGAACAUUUAAGUG
rnacentral:lncRNA from 1 species